ACGAACGCUGGCGGCGUGCCUAAUACAUGCAAGUAGAACGCUGAAGGGAGGAGCUUGCUCUUCUUGGAUGAGUUGCGAACGGGUGAGUAACGCGUAGGUAACCUGCCUUGUAGCGGGGGAUAACUAUUGGAAACGAUAGCUAAUACCGCAUAACAAUGGAUGACCCAUGUCAUUUAUUUGAAAGGGGCAAAUGCUCCACUACAAGAUGGACCUGCGUUGUAUUAGCUAGUAGGUGAGGUAACGGCUCACCUAGGCGACGAUACAUAGCCGACCUGAGAGGGUGAUCGGCCACACUGGGACUGAGACACGGCCCAGACUCCUACGGGAGGCAGCAGUAGGGAAUCUUCGGCAAUGGGGGCAACCCUGACCGAGCAACGCCGCGUGAGUGAAGAAGGUUUUCGGAUCGUAAAGCUCUGUUGUAAGUCAAGAACGAGUGUGAGAGUGGAAAGUUCACACUGUGACGGUAGCUUACCAGAAAGGGACGGCUAACUACGUGCCAGCAGCCGCGGUAAUACGUAGGUCCCGAGCGUUGUCCGGAUUUAUUGGGCGUAAAGCGAGCGCAGGCGGUUUGAUAAGUCUGAAGUUAAAGGCUGUGGCUCAACCAUAGUUCGCUUUGGAAACUGUCAAACUUGAGUGCAGAAGGGGAGAGUGGAAUUCCAUGUGUAGCGGUGAAAUGCGUAGAUAUAUGGAGGAACACCGGUGGCGAAAGCGGCUCUCUGGUCUGUAACUGACGCUGAGGCUCGAAAGCGUGGGGAGCGAACAGGAUUAGAUACCCUGGUAGUCCACGCCGUAAACGAUGAGUGCUAGGUGUUGGAUCCUUUCCGGGAUUCAGUGCCGCAGCUAACGCAUUAAGCACUCCGCCUGGGGAGUACGACCGCAAGGUUGAAACUCAAAGGAAUUAACGGGGGCCCGCACAAGCGGUGGAGCAUGUGGUUUAAUUCGAAGCAACGCGAAGAACCUUACCAGGUCUUGACAUCCCGAUGCUAUUUCUAGAGAUAGGAAGUUACUUCGGUACAUCGGUGACAGGUGGUGCAUGGUUGUCGUCAGCUCGUGUCGUGAGAUGUUGGGUUAAGUCCCGCAACGAGCGCAACCCCUAUUGUUAGUUGCCAUCAUUCAGUUGGGCACUCUAGCAAGACUGCCGGUAAUAAACCGGAGGAAGGUGGGGAUGACGUCAAAUCAUCAUGCCCCUUAUGACCUGGGCUACACACGUGCUACAAUGGUUGGUACAACGAGUUGCGAGUCGGUGACGGCGAGCUAAUCUCUUAAAGCCAAUCUCAGUUCGGAUUGUAGGCUGCAACUCGCCUACAUGAAGUCGGAAUCGCUAGUAAUCGCGGAUCAGCACGCCGCGGUGAAUACGUUCCCGGGCCUUGUACACACCGCCCGUCACACCACGAGAGUUUGUAACACCCGAAGUCGGUGAGGUAACCUUAUGGAGCCAGCCGCCUAAGGUGGGAUAGAUGAUUGGGGUG
rnacentral:rRNA from 1 species